rnacentral:rRNA from 1 species
UACAGAGGGGGCAAGCGUUGUUCGGAAUUACUGGGCGUAAAGGGCGCGUAGGCGGCCUGUUAAGUCGAACGUGAAAUCCCUCGGCUUAACCGGGGAACUGCGUCUGAUACUGGAUGGCUUGAAUCCGGGAGAGGGAUGCGGAAUUCCAGGUGUAGCGGUGAAAUGCGUAGAUAUCUGGAGGAACACCGGUGGCGAAGGCGGCAUCCUGGACCGGCAUUGACGCUGAGGAGCGAAAGCCAGGGGAGCAAACGGG